rnacentral:rRNA from 1 species
UUUGCUGAAUGUGGGGAUAAUUUAUCUCUGUGUUGUAGCUAACGCGUUAAGCACUCCGCCUGGGGACUACGGUCGCAAGACUAAAACUCAAAGGAAUUGACGGGGACCCGCACAAGCGGUGGAGCAUGUGGUUUAAUUCGAUGCAACGCGAAAAACCUUACCACUCCUUGACAUGGAGAUUAGAUCCUUCUUAACGGAAGGGCGCAGUUCGGCUGGAUCUCGCACAGGUGCUGCAUGGCUGUCGUCAGCUCGUGUCGUGAGAUGUUGGGUUAAGUCCCGCAACGAGCGUAACCCUCAUCCUUAGUUGCCAGCGGGUUAAGCCGGGCACUUUAAGGAAACUGCCAGUGGUAAACUGGAGGAAGGUGGGGAUGAUGUCAAGUCAGCACGGCCCUUAUGGGGUGGGCUACACACGUGCUACAAUGGUGACUACAAUAGGUUGCAAUGUCGCAAGGCUGAGCUAAUCCGUAAAAGUCAUCUCAGUUCGGAUUGUCCUCUGCAACUCGAGGGCAUGAAGUCGGAAUCGCUAGUAAUCGUGGAUCAGCAUGCCACGGUGAAUACGUUCUCGGGUCUUGUACACACUGCCCGUCACGCCAUGGGAAUUGGCUUAACUCGAAGCUGGUGCGCUAACCGAAAGGAAGCAGCCAAU